AUGACGGCGCUCUUGUCAGUGGAGGGUGAGUUUGGAGGUGGUGCUGAGCUCCUGUUUGAUGGAAUAAAGAAGCAUCAAGUCACCUUGCCUGGCCGGGAGGAGCCCGGGGACAUCCGGUAUCUCCUUGUCUGGAUCAAGAAGAAUCUGCUGAAAGAGCAGCCAGAGCUAUUCAUCCUGGGAGACAGCAUGCAGCCAGGAAUUCUGGUGCUGAUGAACGCUGCUGACUGGGAACUUCUGGGGGAGCUGGACUACCAGCUACAGGACCAGGACAGCGUCCUCUUCAUCUCCCCGCUGCUUGGUGGAUGAGGGCCCCUCUCAGG